rnacentral:rRNA from 1 species
AUUGAACGCUGGCGGCAUGCUUUACACAUGCAAGUCGAACGGUAACAGGCCUUCGGGUGCUGACGAGUGGCGAACGGGUGAAUAAUGCAUCGGAACGUGCCCAGAGGUGGGGGAUAACGCAGCGAAAGCUGUGCUAAUACCGCAUGUGAUCUGAGGAUGAAAGCGGGGGACCAGGCAGCAAUGUUUGGCCUCGCGCCUUUGGAGCGGCCGAUGUCAGAUUAGGUAGUUGGUGGGGUAAAGGCCUACCAAGCCGACGAUCUGUAGCUGGUCUGAGAGGACGACCAGCCACACUGGGACUGAGACACGGCCCAGACUCCUACGGGAGGCAGCAGUGGGGAAUUUUGGACAAUGGGCGCAAGCCUGAUCCAGCAAUGCCGCGUGCGGGAAGAAGGCCUUCGGGUUGUAAACCGCUUUUGUACGGAACGAAAAGGCUCUGGCUAAUACCUGGGGCUGAUGACGGUACCGUAAGAAUAAGCACCGGCUAACUACGUG